AGGGCAACCCAGCUGAUACCACGCCUUAGGCUCCAGCCCUUCCAUACUGGGAACAAUACCAAGCCUGGAAGAGCAGUAUGGCUAAGGAGACCAGCCAACUCCGUGGCAGUAACCAUCCUUUAAAAUCUUCAGGCAUGAACAUUCCAGCAUAUUACUGCAGUGUGCUCUGAAGUUAGAGGGAGUAUGUGUUGGGUCACGAAGGGUGCGAGUCAGACACAACUGACCUGGCCUCACACUCAAGUACAGAAAUGACGGGAUGUUGAUUCUGCAUGUGUUCUCACUUCCCUGGAUACCACAAAUCAAUGGUAUGGACAUGAAAACUCUGAUGAAGAGAAAGAGACUGAAAAUUUGAGUAACUUCUCCACCCCAAAAAUGCAGGAAUCAAGUCAAAUCGAAAGUUCAACCAAGGUGACUGUCUGCAAAGCCCCUGU